rnacentral:rRNA from 1 species
CCCCUUUGCAGGGAAUAACCUCGCGAAAGCGGGGCUAAUACCCCAUAAUAUUAAGUGGUGAAAUUCCAUUGAAUUAAAGUUUCGGCGCGAAGGGAAGAGUCCGCGUCCUAUCAGCUUGUUGGUGAGGUAAUGGCUCACCAAGGCGAUGACGGGUAGCUGGUCUGAGAGGAUGAUCAGCCAGAGUGGGACUGCGACACGGCCCACACUCCUACGGGAGGCAGCAGUGAGGAAUCUUGCGCAAUGGGCGAAAGCCUGACGCAGCGACGCCGCGUGAAGGAAGAAGCCCCUCGGGGUGUAAACUUCUUUUAUUGCCGAUGAAAUCUGACAUUAGGCAAUGAAUAAGGGCCUGCUAACUACGUGCCAGCAGCAGCGGUAAGACGUAGGGCCCGAGCGUUAUCCGGAUUUACUGGGCGUAAAGAGUGCGUAGGUGGUUUUUUAAGUUGCCAAUAAAAUUCCAAGGCUUAACUUUGGAAAGCUUGGCAAUACUGAAAAACUUGAGAUCAGAGGGGGCAGGCGGAAUUGUCGGUGUAGGGGUGAAAUCCGUUGAUAUCGACAAGAACACCAAUGGCGAAGGCAGCCUGCUAUUCUGAUUCUGACACUGAGGCACGAAAGCGUGGGGAGCGAAAGGGAUUAGAUACCCCUGUAGUCCACGCCCUAAACUAUGCAGACUAGGUAUCGGGAGCAUCGACCCUUCCUGUUCCGAAGCUAACGCGUUAAGU